rnacentral:rRNA from 1 species
UACGGGGGGAGCAAGCGUUGUUCGGAUUUACUGGGCGUAAAGGGCGCGUAGGCGGCCACUGCAAGUCAGUUGUGAAAUCUCCGGGCUUAACCCGGAAAGGUCAACUGAUACUGCAGGGCUAGAGUGCAGAAGGGGCAACUGGAAUUCUCGGUGUAGCGGUGAAAUGCGUAGAUAUCGAGAGGAACACCUGCGGCGAAGGCGGGUUGCUGGGCUGACACGUGACGCUGGAGGCGCGAAAGCCAGGGGAGCGAACGGGA